GUUGGGAACAUGAACGUGGUCAGAAUACAAGCUUUGGAUGGGUGCGUAAUACCGAGGUGAGGCAGAUGGGACUGUAUGACAGGGAGUGUAACCCCACGUUACCUAUCCCUGUGAGUCCACCAUGGCUACUCCCUACUCCAGUAGUUGAUCUACAAAUGUUGGAGAGAUUAAGGAAAGACGAGACUGGAGGAAUCUGGGAAUGUCCAUGCGCAUAGAGCGCUCCUCAUUGGACCGGGUGAAGAAACUAUUUGAAGCUAACAAUAAGAAGAUUGAGGAGAAGCAGAAGGAGAAUGAUUUUGAAGAGUGCAUGAAAGAGCUUUGAGAAGAGGUGAAAUGCUGAUCUUCAACAAGGAGGGCCCUCAGGGGCGUGUGUACAGUCCCCUCCUGUACUCCCUGUUCACCCAUGACUGCAUGGCCAGGCACGACUCCAACACCAUCAUUAAGUUUGCCAAUGACACAACAGUGGUAGGCCUGAUCACUGACAAUGAUGAGACCUGGCAGUGGAGGAGGUCAGAGACCUGGCAGUGUGGUGCCAGGACAACAACCUCUCCCUCAAUGUGAUCAAGACAAAGGAG
rnacentral:lncRNA from 1 species